CAGCCGCCACGGUAAUACAGAGGGUGCGAGCGUUAAUCGGAUUUACUGGGCGUAAAGCGUGCGUAGGCGGCUUCUUAAGUCGGAUGUGAAAUCCCUGAGCUUAACUUAGGAAUUGCAUUCGAUACUGGGAAGCUAGAGUAUGGGAGAGGAUGGUAGAAUUCCAGGUGUAGCGGUAAAAUGCGUAGAGAUCUGGAGGAAUACCGAUGGCGAAGGCAGCCAUCUGGCCUAAUACUGACGCUGAGGUACGAAAGCAUGGGGAGCAAACAGGAUUAGAUACCCCAGUAGUCCCUGUCUCUUAUAC
rnacentral:rRNA from 1 species